GGAGCAACCGUUUGCUUUUUUAGGUGCGAAAUCACUGCGUCACGUAAAUAUGAAUAGAAAGAAGAUAAUUAAAAUGGAAGACAAGAAAAAGAACGGAUCCUGGGAGCCACAGAGCUUACAAACUGCUAUUGAUGAGGUUAUGUCAAAAGAAGUGAGACAAUUUUCGUAGUUGGCUUAGAAGACUGGAUCUAGUGCUCAUCCUGUCGUGGGGGGAUAAGUGAAGCAUGUGAAGACAUUCUAGAGUGUGAAAAUGGUUAAAUAUGUGAUCGAUGCUGGUUAUUUUGAAAUUUCCGGUGUGGUACAAAUAACCGUCCGGUAUUAGGUGCCACUUUUUAAAAUUACGUUUUUUGUUACCAAAGUUUGAUUGAUAGUAUUAAUUAUUUUGGAGCAGAGGUUGCAUUUUUGAUAAUUUAAUUUGAUUUCUAACUUUGUCAUCUUAUAUAAAUCAUAAUUUAAUAAACAUUUCUUAAACAA